AGAUUAUUCAUGUAGAAAUCAUUUAAGACAGUUGCCAAUCUUUUCGGGAGUAGGCAUGCAAGAGAAUUCAUCUUAAGGUCAGACCGUGUAAUUCUCAAAGAAAUUGCAAAGACAAACUAAAAGGCUCCAGGGGAUGUCUCUAAUGCGAUUUCACCACACUACCAUCUAUCCUGGCCAAUAGACAACUGACCCCACGGUGCCCCGGGGUCAUGGCGAGUUCAAGGGGUGGUUCGGCACAAGCCUUAACCAAGAGCACUAUUUCUUGUGGAUCCAGGUGCAUACAUGCCUGCGAGUAUGUUAGGAGCUGUGAACGCUGAGAGGGGCCGAGUGUUUCUGACGCCUGUCGGCCUGGGCUUGUCACAGCGGAUCAGGAAGGUGUCAUCAGCGCAGGGCCGAGCGCCUGAGCCCAUCAGCCAACCGGACCCGAGCACCUGAUGAGCUGACAGCCAGCACAGUGCGGUUCUCAGGCCUCCCGGAGAGACACGCACACCUCCUGGAGAAACACAUACAGCUCAUCUAAGCCCUAGCUGUCUGUCUGUCUGUCUAACUGCGGGAUUCACUCAGCGUAAUGCACAUCCCAAGCUAACUAUGGCCCACCAACUGUCUGUCCAUCUGUCUAUCUAGGAGUAUGGGAUUCAACUGCUUGAGAAUGGUUAUCUCUGGACAACUCUGAGUUGGAAAGUGCAUGCCUCAUGUGUUUUACUUACAUGUCAUUAGUUUUUGUCCAUGCUAUUGCCCUUAUUAAUACACACGUAUAAAACAUUGUCCGGACAUUCAGUUAUCUAUUAUAUGUUAGUGUUGCAAAAAUAACGAUCUGACAAUCUUUCAAAAACAUUGGCUCUAAUAAUGCACAACUCAACAUGGACUUACACUCACAAAUUUAUAACCAUGUCAUCUAGAAAAUUAAAUGAUGCUUAGUGAUUUAUGACUUGAAUUCAUACUUUUCUGACAACUUUAUUUGUUUAUUUAUUUAUUAAUUAAUUUUUUUUUUUUUAUAAAAUUUACAAUGUCAAGAUGCUUAUGCUGUGAGAGAAAUAUUACAGCAAUGUUUUAGGGUCAUCUAUAGAUAGAAAUAAAAAAAGUAUCGAAAUAUAUAAAAAAACAAGCA